UACGUAGGGUGCAAGCGUUGUCCGGAAUUAUUGGGCGUAAAGAGCUCGUAGGCGGUCUGUCGCGUCUGCUGUGAAAAACUCGGGGCUUAACCCCCGGGCUUGCAGUGGGUACGGGCAGACUAGAGUGCGGUAGGGGAGACUGGAAUUCCUGGUGUAGCGGUGAAAUGCGCAGAUAUCAGGAGGAACACCGAUGGCGAAGGCAGGUCUCUGGGCCACUACUGACGCUGAGAAGCGAAAGCAUGGGGAGCGAACAGG
rnacentral:rRNA from 1 species